rnacentral:lncRNA from 1 species
GGGAGGGUAAAAGGAAGGAGGUGGGCUCGGUAGCCUCGCCCUCUUGCCUAAAUUCUGAAGGUGACACUUAGCCAGCCCCGCACCAUCUUUUGUCCCUUUUCCCUCUUACCCUUCGUCCUUUUUUUUCUACUUCCUCCCUCCUUUUCUCUUUCCACUUCCUUUCUCCCCUCCCCCUCCUACUCUCUUCUUCUUUCCUCUCCCACCUCCUCCUUUUUCCCAUUUCCCUUCCCUCUCUUCCUCCCCCUUCCUUCUUCUUGAUACACACCUCUACCCACUUAUCCACCUUCCAACCCUUAACCCUGGAGGAGGACACGUGGGAGAUUUGGCCCCAGGCACCUCAGUAUCAUUGUCCUCAGUAACUAAGACCAUUCUCCCAUGUAUUUGGUGGGAGACUGUGCCCCAGGCAUUUUAGAGGGAGAUUUUGUACCAAGUAUCACCUCAGUCUUCUUAAACUGCACAGUAUUCUCCAAAAAUCAAAGUCUCUAGAGGAAUUCUCUAUCAAUACAGAAUUUCUCUUCCUUCUAGAUUGUGUGUUGGAUAUUCUCCAUGAUGGUAACAACUACUUUUGGCAGGCAAGAAUCUCCCUGUUUUAUGCUUCACUUGAUGUCGAUGAUGAAAAGAUCAUCAGAUAAAGUUAUCUUUUUCUUAAAGUUGAUCAAAGAAUCUAGUAUGAUCUUAUCAUGAAUACAAACAAUACCGACAUUAUAAGAGAUUUUAAGAGUGUAUUUUGUUCUAGUCAAUGAAAUGCUUUAAAAACAAUAAUAAAAAACCAAUAAACAUAGUGAUAUGUAUUUUC